rnacentral:lncRNA from 1 species
UUUUCUUUACACCAGAAAUGUUAUUCAUAAACAAGCGUAUGAGUUUAGUAAUGACUAGUAUAUAAUAUCACUUUCGGACACGCAAGAUAGAGAUGCAUAUUAUACACCUAAUAGUUCAAAAUGGAAAGUUAUAAGUUAUCGGCCGUGUACACUGAUCAAUACCCUAAGAAGUGAAACGAUGCAUGAAUUUGCAAGCUCGACAGGAAAUCGCUUGAAUACCUGGACGUGUCACC